rnacentral:rRNA from 1 species
GAUGAACGCUGGCGGCGUGCCUAAUACAUGCAAGUCGAGCGAACAGACGAGGAGCUUGCUCCUCUGACGUUAGCGGCGGACGGGUGAGUAACACGUGGAUAACCUACCUAUAAGACUGGGAUAACUUCGGGAAACCGGAGCCAAUACCGGAGAAUAUAUUGAACCGCAUGGUUCAAUAGUGAAAGACGGUUUUGCUGUCACUUAUAGCUGGAUCCGCGCCGCAUUAGCUAGUUGGUAAGGUAACGGCUUACCAAGGCAACGAUGCGUAGCCGACCUGAGAGGGUGAUCGGCCACACUGGAACUGAGACACGGUCCAGACUCCUACGGGAGGCAGCAGUAGGGAAUCUUCCGCAAUGGGCGAAAGCCUGACGGAGCAACGCCGCGUGAGUGAUGAAGGUCUUCGGAUCGUAAAACUCUGUUAUUAGGGAAGAACAAAUGUGUAAGUAACUAUGCACGUCUUGACGGUACCUAAUCAGAAAGCCCCGGCUAACUACGUG